AUACCUUUCUCGGCCUUUUGGCUCAGAUCAUGUGUAGUAUCUGUUCUUAUAAGCUUAAUCGCUUAUAUGGUUCUCAUUGAGAACCUGCGAUUAACUUUAAUAUUUUAGGGGGUCAAGGCAAUGGGGGCGCUUGCGCUCCCGCCGCGACAGCUUGGCAGGAGGCUUACACUACCUCUCUUGCCGAGCACCCCAG
rfam:Chlamydomonas reinhardtii strain CC-503 cw92 mt+ CHLREscaffold_25 genomic scaffold, whole genome shotgun sequence.